GAUGAAGAACGUAGCGAAAUGCGAUAAGUAAUGUGAAUUGCAGAAUUCAGUGAAUCAUCGAAUCUUUGAACGCACAUUGCGCCCGCCAGUAUUCUGGCGGGCAUGCCUGUUCGAGCGUCAUUUCAACCAUCAAGCCCCCGGCUUGUGUUGGGGACCUGCGGCUGCCGCAGGCCCUGAAAAGCAGUGGCGGGCUCGCUGUCACACCGAGCGUAGUAGCAUACAUCUCGCUCUGGGCGUGCUGCGGGUUCCGGCCGUUAAACCACCUUCAUAACCCAAGGUUGACCUCGGAUCAGGUAGGAAGACCCGCUGAACUUAAGCAUAUCAAUAAGCGGGGGA
rnacentral:misc_RNA from 1 species